UGGGCUCCAGGCGUUGCUUGGCCUCAGGCCCGCGGCGGGUGCCCGGCAGGCCGGGAGGAGCACGUACCCGAAUGUGUUUCCUUCGGGCAGGCUCGUGGUGGCAGGACUAGGAGGGCAUGGCCCUCCUGAGCACAUCACCACCUUCACCUGCUCAUCCCCCAAGCUGAGCAGGCAUAUCGUCUCCAUAGUUCCACAUUCAACACCCUAGUCGGCCACUAGACCAAACUCUUGUUGCUCUGACAAUGAGAAUGUCUAGACUGGGUCAGACCAACGGUCCGUCUCGCUCAGUAUCCUGUCUUCCGACAGUGGCCAGUGCCAGGUUUUUCAUAUGGCAUGUGCCGAAGAGGGAAUUUAUUGCAUGAUCCGUCCCCAGUUGUCCAAUUCUAGUUUCUGGAAGUUGGAGGUUUACCUCAGAGCAUGUGGUUAUGUCCUUGACCAUCUUGGCUAAUACCCAUUGAAGGACCUAUGCUCUAUGAACUUAUCUGAACAGUACACUUCCUGCAGUGGUUGUAUGCCAGCCUGGAGUACUCUGUGCAGGUCAGGAAAGUAUUCUGCAAUCACAGCCUGAAGGGAGAAAUAGCCACUCCAUAAUCUUUUCCUACAUCAAACUAAUCUGAAUUAUUCUGUCAGAGUCAGAAACCAGACACCAGGGGAAAGCUCCUGAACUUGAGAUGUCAAAAGCAUCUGGUCUGCUUCCUAUUGAUCAUGGACUUGAACAGUUUACUGAUGGAGCCAGCGACAUUUCCUCCCGUGAUGAUUAUUUGUCGGUUUCACUCCAUUGGCUUGAGCUUGAGUUUCCAUGGUAAAGCUCCUUGCUGAGGGCCUGCUCUCACACUGAACUUGAAGGAAAAGCUAAAUGGGAGCUGGAUGCUCCAAUAAUUCAAGAUGCUGAGCACCCAAUGCUAUCGCAGACUGGCAUGCAGCGGGUUAACUGGCUCCUCCACUUGGAGCUAUAACUGUUUCCUGAUCUCCAGUCAUUUGAAGAGUGUUUACUCUACACCUGUGAUGGCAAGAAUGGAGAAUCGAUUGGAGUUUGCAGGUGAAAAUGGAUUGUAAUCUGCUGUCCAUAGUGUCAAUGGAGCUGAAUAGCACAUGUGUCUGUCUCCAAUGGAUUGAUCUCACAGAAAGGCAGCUACGUGCACACAUGGAUGUCGCAAUGGAAGGGGUGCUGGGACACACACUCUGGACUAUCAUGUAUCAAGAUGUAGCAGGACAAUCUCAACACUCCAGAGGUAAAACAUGCAGUGGGAAAGGUCAUUUAACAUGGCCAUUUGCUUAGUGCUGCUUCAGCCUUGACAGAAAGGAACCUGCAAAUCAGGCUUGGGAAACUGUUGGGGUUCAGAGCUUUGAUCUGGUUCCUUAUAUAGACAGGGGAGAGCUGUAGCAUUCAGAUCUGGAUUCAGACCUUCCCAGAGUUUUGGGAUGUUCCAAUCUUGGAUUUUGCAUGCUUUUCUACUGCAGUCUCAAGAAAGCUUCCCCGGUAGAACUUUUUUCAUGCAGGUCCUAGUUUUAUGCCAUGUAAGGGCCAGGCAAGGAAUUGAAAUGUGUUAAUUAAAUCAAAGAAGUUGUGUGAAGCAUAUUAUCUGGGUUGUCGUGU